rnacentral:ncRNA from 2 species
AAUUUAAAAGGCGAUGGAGUUCGCCGCUAACCGCUCCGAUAAUAUCGGGGCCGAUAACUCCUGCCACCCC